AGGACGAACGCUGGCGGCGUGCUUAACACAUGCAAGUGGAGCGACGAACCGGGGCUUGCCCCGGGGCAGAGCCGCGAACGGGUGAGUAACACGUGGGUCACCUGCCUCAAUGACCGGGACAACCCGAGGAAACUCGGGCUAAUACCGGAUGUGCCCGCAAGGGGAAAGGAAGCUUCGGCCUCCGCAUUGAGAUGGGCCCGCGGCCCAUUAGCUUGUUGGUGAGGUAACGGCUCACCAAGGCUUCGAUGGGUAGCUGGUCUGAGAGGACGAUCAGCCACACUGGGACUGAGACACGGCCCAGACUCCUACGGGAGGCAGCAGUGGGGAAUCUUGCGCAAUGCGCGAAAGCGUGACGCAGCAACGCCGCGUGGGGGAAGAAGGCUUUCGGGUUGUAAAACUCUUUCGACGGGGACGAUAAUGACGGUACCCGUAGAAGAAGCUCCGGCUAACUUCGUGCCAGCAGCCGC
rnacentral:rRNA from 1 species